UGCCAGCAUGGCAUGCCCCGGUGUGCUGUGGGCAUUCGUGGUCUCCACCUGUCUUGGAUCCAGCAUGACCCAGACGGUCACUCAGCCUCAACCUGAAGUGUCCGUGCAAGAGGCAGAGACUGUGACUCUGGCCUGCACAUAUGACACUAGUGACAGUCAAUAUUCUUUGUUCUGGUACAAACAGCCCACAAGUGGGGAGAUGAUUUCCAUUAUCCGCCAAGGAGCUUAUACGCAAGGAAAUGCAAUGGAUAGUCGCUUCUCUGUGAAAUUCCAAAGAGAAACCAAAAGCAUCAACCUCAGGAUCUCUGACUCCCAGCUGGAGGAUGCUGCGAUGUAUUUCUGUGCUCUCCGUGAGGCACAGUGA